UACAGAGGGUGCGAGCGUUAAUCGGAAUUACUGGGCGUAAAGGGUUCGUAGGCGGUGCGGCAAGUUGGGAGUGAAAUCUCUGGGCUUAACCCAGAGGCUGCUUCCAAAACUGCCGUGCUAGAGUGCGAGAGAGGCCAGUGGAAUUGCAGGUGUAGCGGUGAAAUGCGUAGAUAUCUGCAGGAACACCCGUGGCGAAGGCGGCUGGCUGGAUCGCAACUGACGCUGAGGAACGAAAGCUAGGGGAGCAAACAGG
rnacentral:rRNA from 1 species